UACGGAGGGUGCGAGCGUUGUCCGGAAUCAUUGGGCGUAAAGGGCGCGUAGGUGGCCCGGUCAGUCUGUGGUGAAAGCGCGGGGCUCAACCCCGCGUCGGCCAUGGAUACUGCUGGGCUGGAGCACUGUAGAGGCAGGCGGAAUUCCGGGUGUAGCGGUGGAAUGCGUAGAGAUCCGGAAGAACACCGGUGGCGAAGGCGGCCUGCUGGGCAGUUGCUGACACUGAGGCGCGACAGCGUGGGGAGCAAACAGGG
rnacentral:rRNA from 1 species